AAAUCCCGUCCGGAGAGCGGCCCUAGGAGCCUCGAGCGCCGAGCGGGGCCGGCAGGAUCCUCGCCGCAGCCGCCGGGGACGGGAGGAAGCAAACAGCAUUUCGGAUCUGAAGGGAGCAUAUGUUCCGGGCUCUAGGCGCGUUCCCAGGGAGGGAUAACCGACGGGGACAGAUGCCGAGCUGCUCUGACACGGGGCGGAGGGUUCACCCGGCCCGGCCCCACAUGCCAGACGUGUUCCCGAAAGCCGAGAGCCCACGGGUGAUUCUUAGAAGACAAAACACGGCCGGGGGGCGACCGCCCGCGGCAAGGCGCGUGGGCUCGCAGACCCCCGGGCACACGAAAUGCCGGCCUCCAGAGGGACAGGCCUGCCACAGCCUCGCUCUGGGGCUUCAAAAGUGAGAUUGCUACGGUGAUCCAAACCAAGGCAGGCUACCCAAAUCCCCCCGACUGCUUCAAACGCGUCUUGGGAGGGGGAUCAUCGCUUUGUGUCCUCUUCUUUGAACAUUUCUGAUCUUUAGUUUCCACACAGCGUGGCUGGGCGCUGCUAACCUGCUCUGGGGUGGGCAGCUGGAGCCAUUCCUGUAUGAUGGAGCAGCAUCGCCACAAGAAAGCCGUUUUCCCUUUUCCUCUUCUUUGCCCCCUCAUGUUUUCCUGCGGCACCUCCAUUUUCCUUCAGACACCACAAUAAUAAUAUAAUAAAAAAGAACUGACAUCUA